rnacentral:rRNA from 1 species
CCUACGGGAGGCAGCAGUGGGGAAUAUUGGACAAUGGGCGCAACCCUGAUCCAGCCAUACCGCGUGUGUGAAGAAGGCCUUCGGGUUGUAAAGCACUUUAAGCAGGGAGAAAAAGUUAUAAGUUAAUACCUUAUAACCGUGAUGUUACCUGCAGAAUAAGCACCGGCUAAUUCCGUGCCAGCAGCCGCGGUAAU